AGCAGCCGCGGUAAUUCCAGCUCCAAUAGCGUAUAUUAAAGUUGUUGCAGUUAAAAAGCUCGUAGUUGAAUUUCGGGAUUAGUAGGUUGGUCGUGCCUCUGGUAUGUACUCGCCUUACUGGUUCCUCCUUCUUGAAGAACUGUAAUGCCAUUAAUUUGGUGUUGCAGGGAAACAGGACUGUUACUUUGAAAAAAUUAGAGUGUUUAAAGCAGGCCA
rnacentral:rRNA from 1 species